CACGAACUUGCGCAUGAAAAUUUGAUCCAAUACAGAUCAUAAAAGUUCGAUCUGAUAAAAAAAAUAGAACAGCCGACUAGGAGCUUAUGUCUGGAACAGCCCCCACAAGUUUACACGUAGAAAAUUUGAUCCGAAAAAGAUUAUGAGAAUUUGAUCCGAGAAAGAUCAUGAAAAUUUGAUUCGAGAAAGAUCAUAAAACUUCGAUCCAAAUAAAGAUCAUCGUAUGAUCUUAAUUAGUGC
rnacentral:lncRNA from 1 species